ensembl:lncRNA
CUGUGGAGGUCUCCUCUUCCUCUGAUGCACCCAGACACUCAGAGCCUCCUCUCAACACCUCAUCUGUAUCACAGAGGAUUGUUAGCCCAGAGACAGACAGUGGAUUUGGGAGCUCAUACUUGAAUCAAUCAGCCUCCGGACCGUUUCAACCAAAUCUGCUCACAGAGAGUGUGCAGUCUCAGAAUGAUGGUUUGAGUAGCUCAGACAGCGAGGGCUCCAACCUGCAGACAGCCAUUCACCCGGCCACCCAGCGGUGGGCCAGUCCCCACCCAUCUGUCCAAACACAGUGUCUUAUAGCAGUGGCUGUGGAGCGCUGGGUGGAGAGCACCACUAAAGAGCCUUCAGUCAGGCUGCAGGGUGAGCAAAUCUUAGCAUAAAGAAGUUCUAUUUUAAUUUCAUUUUAUGUGGUCAAUACGGAUAUGAUGACCUUUUCCAAACCCCUGAAUCUGAAUGAACAGGAUCUGAACACAGCCUGCCUGCCCUGCUCCAUCACCACGCAUCUGAACCCGCUCUCAGCAUCACCAUGGAUACAGAAGAGAGAGGAAGCCCACUGGACUCCUGCUCUUGUAAUAGUGAGGCGAUCCUGGCCUUGCAGUCCGAGGUAUCCCGGCUGAAGAAGGACCUGGAGGAAGGCUUGGUCCAGCUGCCUCACCUAGCACAGAAGAUGGACUAUCUCUCCUCCAAAUACAGGCAGAAUCGUCAGGAGCGCAAGUCUAAAACCAGACCCCAGACCCACCACAGACCAGCCUGCAACAGUGUGUGGAAGCCUUCAAGUAGCACACACAAUUUGAGCGAUCUCAGUUCCAGUCAGAAGAGGAUAGAGGACUGGAUCUCUUCAGACAUGGACCCCAGCAAGAGCAAAGGUACUCCAUCACCACAACACACUAAUAAGAAAAUGGCAGCAAAACACUCCAUGUCUCCAAGUGUGUCUCUGUAUAUUUCUUCCAUCGUCUGCUAUGGUUCAGAUACAGACACUGGUGACACAGCUGGCUCUGAGAUUGUGUUGCAGUGCCACAAUUCACUAGUAGGGAGCAGGAGAGGCAGCUGUAAUGUGCACUCUGCACCUGAGUUUCAAUAUAAACUUCAUGAGGCGCUGCAAUCCAACAGAGGUCAGAGCCACAGCUGUUUCUCACAGUUCAGGACAUACCGUGAUUGUUUCUGAAUAUCAUUUACACAGGAAUAUUGUAUCCAAUAUUGUGUUUUGCUCUGUCAGGGUCAGAGGGAAAUGGGAAGGCUUCUGACAGCCAUGCCAAGCAAAGACCACAAAGUAAGUUAUUUUUAUUAUGUAAUGAUAAUAACGUCAACAUGUUGGCGUCAUUGCGAUUGAUCAAAUUAUGUCCUUCUUUGUAACUUCAAAACAAAAACCAUACAUAUGUGCAGUUUUGCGUUUUAUUGGUAUACAUACUGUAGUGCUUCUCAUGUUUCCGCGGUCAGCAGCCAUCAUGGAGAGUUUUCACUCGAAGGAGAGGUGGUCUCUUCUCUCCUCUCCGUCUCUUCAGAAGCCCCUUCUCCAGGUCAGCUACGGCUCCUCCUGCAGCCUGCCUGCAAGGUAAACACAUGACACAAACGCAUCACUUACUGAAAGCAGACACAUAUUUAUCCGAGGUUUCCCACAUAAAGUUAUUCAAUUAAAUAGGUAUGUUAAAGUGGAAUCAUUCUUUCUUGCUAUCUGUCCUCAAAUCCAGCUACAAAGUGAGGGAGCCACCGCUGCACACCAUGUCCCAUCACAGAAAGCGCUCCACCCAGUCAGACACGGCACUCCUGCCCAGUAAUGUGUACUUCCAGCGGACACCGUCCCCAGCAUCAGUGCCGCCAAAGACUGGCAGCAGGACAGGCAGACGCAGAAGGAGCAAGGUGAGACGUCUCACCUCUUCACAUGCGAGUCUGCUGACUAUUCUGACACGUUAGAGAUCCUCCCUUUAUACAUGAACACCUGCUGUGUUUCUCAACAACAAAAAAGCCAACUAUUUGUCGUUGUUGUUAGUUUUUUUUGUUCAUUCUCAACUCAUUGGAGAGUUUGCUCCUGUUUUCUAGGAGGAAGAAAUGAAUAGAACUCUAGAGCAGGCUAUUGAGGUGGCCCGCAGCAUGAAGAGGACCACCGACAGAAUGGCCAUGAGACUGUCAGCUGACCUGGCUGAGGCUCAUCUCCACAGGAAACUGCGCAGCCAGCAGCCAGCAGGGGGCAGGAAACACCAUCAUAACAAGCAGAGUACAGAUCAGUUCACGCUGUAAUCAUCAAUCUGCACUAUGACACCUGAUGUAGAAUAUAUCUUUGUUGGAUUAUAAAUUAUUUAAGGACCUGUUUGUGUUAAGAUAUUGUUUUUUUCUACAUGGUUGUAUGUUUGUGUAUUUAUACAUAGAAACGUUUGAAAUCACACUGCAAAAAUAAAAGAAUAACAAUACUAACCUUUUUAAAUUGUAAGA